GAUGAAGAACGUAGCGAAAUGCGAUAAGUAAUGUGAAUUGCAGAAUUCAGUGAAUCAUCGAAUCUUUGAACGCACAUUGCGCCCCUCGGCACUCCGGGGGGCAUGCCUGUCCGAGCGUCAUUGCACCCCUCGAGCCCCCCGUGGCUUGGUCGUGAGCCGCGCCUGCGCAACCCCCGUUCCCCCCCUGUGAAGGGGGGGGGCGGGGCGCCGGGCGGGCUUGAAACGCAGUGGCGGCCCCCGGGCGACUUCCAGCGCGAUGACAUGUUUCGCUGCCGAAGCGUUCGCCCCGGGCGCCCGCCAGGCAACCCCCGUGUGUUUUAUGCGGUUGACCUCGGAUCAGGCAGGGAUACCCGCUGAACUUAAGCAUAUCAAUAAGCGGAGGA
rnacentral:misc_RNA from 1 species